rnacentral:rRNA from 1 species
UACGUAGGGUGCGAGCGUUGUCCGGAAUUAUUGGGCGUAAAGGGCUCGUAGGCGGUCUGUCACGUCGGGAGUGAAAACUCAGGGCUUAACCCUGAGCCUGCUUCCGAUACGGGCAGACUAGAGGUAUGCAGGGGAGAACGGAAUUCCUGGUGUAGCGGUGAGAUGCGCAGAUAUCAGGAGGAACACCGGUGGCGAAGGCGGUUCUCUGGGCAUUACCUGACGCUGAGGAGCGAAAGUGUGGGGAGCGAACAGG